AUUGAACGCUGGCGGCAGGCUUAACACAUGCAAGUCGAGCGGAGAUGAGGUGCUUGCACCUUAUCUUAGCGGCGGACGGGUGAGUAAUGCUUAGGAAUCUGCCUAUUAGCGGGGGACAACAUUCCGAAAGGAAUGCUAAUACCGCAUACGUCCUACGGGAGAAAGCAGGGGAUCUUCGGACCUUGCGCUAAUAGAUGAGCCUAAGUCGGAUUAGCUAGUUGGUGGGGUAAAGGCCUACCAAGGCGACGAUCUGUAGCGGGUCUGAGAGGAUGAUCCGCCACACUGGGACUGAGACACGGCCCAAACUCCUACGGGAGGCAGCAAUGGGGAAUAUUGGACAAUGGGGGGAACCCUGAUCCAGCCAUGCCGCGUGUGUGAAGAAGGCCUUAUGGUUGUAAAGCACUUUAAGCGAGGAGGAGGCUACUGAGACUAAUACUCUUGGAUAGUGGACGUUACUCGCAGAAUAAGCACCGGCUAACUCUGUGCCAGCAGCCGCCGUAAUAC
rnacentral:rRNA from 1 species